GUGCCCGUAGCUCAGCUGGAUAGAGCGUUUGCUUGCGGAGCAAAAGGUCGUAGGUUCGAAUCCUGUCGGGCAUACCA
rnacentral:tRNA from 1 species